GGGGCAACGGGCACAGACUGGAACACAGGAGGCUCCAUGUGAACAUGAGCAGAAACUUGUUUGCUGGGAGGUGCCAGAGCCUGGCCCAGGCUGCCCAGAGCGGGUGUGGAGUCUCCUGCUCUGAGACAUUCAAACCGCCUGGACCCACCUGUGUGAUCUGCUCUGUGACCCUGCGUGAGCAGCGCUGGGCUGGGGGAUCUGCAGAGGUCCUGCAACCCAACCAGGAUGGGAUUCUGUGAUUCCUGUAGGGAACAGGUUGCACUCGUAAAUCAAAUCCAAUAUUUUCAGAUGACUUAGUACAGUCUUUUGUGCUGCUUGAUAAAUAGCACACGGAGCCUUAUGGAGCCUUGACAUCUGGCUGUUUGGGCACUAAUUAAAGUACCUGGUCAGCAUUUUAACUGGAAGGCAAUAAGGAGAGGUGCACAAGAGUGGAUAAACAUUUGUUCUGUAUGAACUCCAGGAAAGAUGUGAAAACCUUGGGCAUCCUUCGACUGUAAGCAAUCUUUGCUAAAUCUCAAGGAUAAGCGUGUGAAGGUGAAUAAGUCUCUGUUGCUAAAGCUCAAAACACAUCGUCAUUGGUGUCAAAACAUGCUGUUUCACAGGUCUGGAAGAAGCAGAGCUAAGCGCAGCCCAUCAGGCAGAGUGUGCGGCUGAGCUCCACGGAGGGAUUUUGUUUGCAGUCACAGAAUUGCCUGUGAGAUGUUGCUUGAUCAGAAGAGAAAUAUUUAAUACAGUCUGUCUCCUGUAACAGUCAUGUAGAGAAAACAAGUCUCCAAAUUGGAUUUGUGUGAUCAAUGGGCAGGAAAGUCCACUUCAUCUAUCUCAGCUGAGCUCACUUAUAAAACUAGGGUUUGUUGACAGCAAGGUGUCCGUGUUCUGGCAGGACUGACUCUCUCCUGUCUGGGGACACGAGUUGUUCUGGAACCAUGCACCGAUCAUCUCCAAAUUUGCGCCACAAUCUAUACCUUCUUGUACGUCAAUAGAAAACCAGCUGCUGAGUUCAGAAAGAGUAUGAUUCUUCUUACAGAAAAAUCAAAGGAAGAAUUAGCACGGAUUUCUGAAGGCAAGUAUCCUACCCUCACAGUUAUGUACACAGAAAUAUUUACGUAUCUAAAGGUAUGUUUUGGAAUUUAUUCAAGUGCAUCAGUGAAUUGGGAACCUGCAAAUAGUUUUUCUCAGGCCAGGGUCGCAGUGGGGAGCAUGGCACAAAGACCUGACCCAAACAGAAACAGGUUCAGGGCCUGAGCAAAACCUCCACGAGGCCACCAUUAAACAGAUCCUCCAGACUUGACACUUCACAGCUUCAAGCAUUUGCAAAGCAAGUGUAGCACAGCAGGUCUUGCUGAGCCUAAUGGCACAGUAAAUCUGGUAAAUAAGUAAGCAGCAUACAGCAGAGAAGAUGGGGGCCAUGUCUGAAGUUUGUGUCUUACAGAGUAUUGGCAUGGUGACUUGGCAGAGUCUUCUGAAUGUUUUGAGUUACCUUGAUGGGUAAUGAAACUAUUUGCUAAUCUUGUAUGUAUAUAUAUAUUAUAAAGGGAUUUGUAAAAGAGAGACUGUGGGCAGCUGGCCAGUCUGGCUGUCCCCCCGUGAGUCUGGAAGACAUUAACGGGAUGGAGGGUGCAGCUGUUGAAACCCCCUUGAGCAUGAAGAGCUGUUGGAGAGGAACAAAACUGGAUCCAAGUACGGGAAGGAAAUGGGUCAUGGACACCAAAUAACAAGUGUAGCAGCAUCAGCCUCUGCUAACGACCCUAUGUUUGCCUGUUCUGUAAAAUCCUCUUUAAAGCAAUACUCUAGCAAUUAAUGAACCUGUUUAAAACAAACACUGAACAAAACCAAUAAAACCCACAACCAAGCAAAACAACUAACCAAUCAACCAAAAAAACAACCAACCAAAAGCCAAAAGCAAAACCAAAAAAACUCCAACCAAACCAAAACCCAGCUAUAGGGAUCUGCAGCAACAAUUCCUUACUUCAGGAAACGGAGCUCUUCUGAACAAUAACAUCUUCUGUCAUGCCUAAUCAAUCUAAUUAAAGAACACUACCACACUUUAUUAAUGUAAUUUAUCUCUUGCCUGAGGUGAACUAUUUUUAUGCUCCAGUUACUCAAACAUUACUGCUCCGUGUUUGAAGAAAUUGUAUUAUUCAGUGAUGUUUAUGUUCCACAAUAUCAGGUGGCAAUUGAACAAGUGCCUGAGAAGGUGGGUAUUUCCUAUUUCAGAAAAGCUGUUUUGGAGCACACGUUGUUUCACAGGUUGGACUUGGGCAUGUUCAUCUCUGAAUUGCAACCGAAGGCCUAGACAAGCCAAACACUCAACUGUCAGCAUUAAGCAUGUGAGUAGCCUGUGUAAUUGCACAUGUUCACGUCGUUCAAUGAGUCGGGGUUGGAAGGCCAAGUUUAUUCCAGCUGAAGAUCUGGCAGGGAAAGGCUAAUAUGCUCUGAAGGAGGAAGGAAUUUAGUUAGCUCUAGAGCUUAAAAACAUUAAAGGAAAUGUCAGUAGAAAAAAAAAAUGUAUUUAGUUUAAAAGAUAUUAAUUGCUCCUGUGAAGUGUGCCUCUGAUGUAGCCGUAGUUGCAGGGCUCAUGGGCAUAGUAUCCACCCGUCUUUCACACCAGCUGGAAGAAGCAGUUUAACAUCAUCUGUGGAGCAAAACAGCGUAAGACAAUGGAAAACAUUGUCCAGAACCGACAGCGGGGUUUUCCUGGUGAUUGCUUGCAAAUUGUUGCUGUCUGCUUGAAAGCAACCAGAAAAUUCAGAUUGGAUAUUAGGAAAAAUUUAUUCCCAGAAAGGCUUGAGAAGCAGUGGAACAGGCUGCCCAGGGCAGUGCUGGAGUCACCAUCCCUGGAGGGUUGGACAGACGGAGAUGAGGUUCUCAGGACAUGGGGCAGUGCCAGGGGUGGGUUGUGGUUGGACUCGAUGAUCUUGAGGGUCUCCUCCAACCAAAAUGAUUCUGUGAUUCUAAAAUAGGAGAAGGAAAGGAAAGAAACACAGAUCUGCCUUGAGCCUGUCCUGACAGAGGGCUGAGAGCUCCUGGACGUGCAAGGCUGGAGGCAAAGUGAGUUGGCAAGGGAGCUUCCUGCCCACCCUGCUGCCUGUCUUCAUGUGCAGAGCUGAGCUGGGCUCAAUCACAGCCAUUUUCGGCCACCUGUCCAUGUUAUUUGCCUGCACUUUUCUUGAGCAGCCUGAGACAAAACCCCAUGUGGGCUUUGUCUCUGUCUUGGAUGGAUAAGAUGGGCCCUGUCCUGCUAGGGACCCGACCUGCUUUGAGGGCAGCUGCCGUUUGCAGACAUCUGGGCUGGGUUUGAGCUGCUCAGGUACAGCCUGUGCAGAGCCCGGGGAGAACCUGGGCUCAGAGAAGAUGGUGGAGAGCAAAGCUGGGUGGGGAGAUGGAAAAGCAGACAUCUUGCCUUGAGCUGCAGCACUUUUCAGUCUCAGAUGUGCAGGAGCAAUUCCUGUCACCAGUUUUUGAUGGGGCAAUGGGCUCUUUCUUCGAUGGGCUCUUUCCCAGCCCAUGCAUAGGGGAAUUAGUGCAGCAACUGUGCAGAUUUACUCAGGUCAAUGCAGAGAAUUUCACAGCUAAAUUUAAAGCACCAUUAAGUAGGAUGGUGUGUAGGGAACAGCACCAUCCAAUUUUUCGUUUGUUUGUUUUUAAAGUUGGCUUAUGUAUUUACCACUUUCCUAGGCAGGUUCUUAAAAAUAAAUUGCCAAACAGAUUCUGUCUUGUGAAUAGAUCCAAAUGAAUUUUAUUAAGAUUUUUACAUAAUUUCUUUCUACCCUGCUCCCAAGUUGACUUUGGCAGUUUAGAAAGGCUUCUAAGAAAAAGAAAAAAAAAAAAAAAAAAGAGGGUUUAUCCUUUAUGAAUAAGUUAAAUGCAAAUUUCCUUGGCUAGUGGUUAGAUCUUUUUUGGAUUUUCCUAGAAGAGAACAAUGACUCACAUCCAUUGAUGAAGUACACCUUAUCUCCAUAUUAUUAACAAGUGCAGUCGCGUGAAUCAGACUGCAUCUGCCAUUGAGAAUAGAUGAGAAUAGAGAUGCUUGUUUGGAGGACAGAGCAUGUUGUGUUUAUGGCUCCAAAACCAAAGUACAGAUUGGAGAUUUGUCCCAGGUCAGAGUCUCCUUGACAGCCUGUGCACUGUUGCAUAUUAAAAAGUUGGAUGGCAAAAAAUAAAUAGUGGACUGGACUGGAAAGGUAACUGAAUAGCGUGUUGAACCUGGUGAAUUAUUUAUUUAUUUAUUUUUAAUGAUAAAAUAAGGAAAAUCCUUGCUAUGGAGCUGAUCAUUAGUGUAACUGUGAUUUUACUGCUAUGUUGGAUAAUUUGUUUGAACAUUGGAGAAGUGGAAAUAAAUAUGCAAAAGACAGAGGAUCUAUAAACAGGUAAGUCAGCUGGGGCAAGCAAAAAUUCAUGUAGUAUGCCAUGAGCAUGAUGAGAUUCAAAAAAGGCAUAAGGGCUGAAGAAAAUGGUAAAAUGCAUGGCACAGAAAGCAGCCAUUCUGUUAGAAAAAGCCAUUAUAGCAAACCAAAUCAAUGCAAUCAAGAAAGAGCAAUUAAUUGAAGCUGGAAGGUACAUUUCCCAGACCUAAACCUGGCUUUAUAUUUAUAAAACAUUUUUUUGCUACUAUUUAUCUGGAGGCUGUUUGCAUAUUAUGUCUACCAAGUCCUAUCCUUUGUUUCUUCAUACCUGUCAGGGUCUCCCUGAUAUUGCUGCCGAAGGCUCUUCAAAAGCUGUGCCCACCCCCACCCUGAUGCCUCCUUUGCAGCAGCUGGGAACCCGUCCUGCCUCCGGAGGGUGGUGGCAUCUCCCCACACCAGCAUGUCACUGUCACCCUCCCGUAGCGCAGGGAGGUGGAUGUGGCUCUUGCUCAAAGGACAAUAAAAAAUGACUUCUGGUGGUGUUGCCUUGGAAGAAAAAUUGACAACAUAGAUUUUCAUUUAGAAGAAAAUCUAAUAUAAGUGUAUAAGAUUUCUGUUUCAAAAUCAGUGACCCGUACCUGGAACAGGAUAAGAUACUGUAGUUUGAAAGAGUUUCUCUGUUGCUCCCUGCUUCCAUAAAAAUGAGAGAAAAAGAAUCACACAAUCAUAGAAUGUCCUGAGCUGGAAGGGACUCACAAGGAUCAUCAAGUCCAGCUCCUGAAAGAGAACUGGAUUUGGAAGCUCCAGAGCAGCACACAGAAAUAAAGUCCCCCUCUCCUCCCAUCUCCAACAAGUGUCUCUCUGGGGCCUGGCCAGGCAGAUGAAUCAGAGCAGAACUGAACCGGUUCAGAAGCCGAGUGAACACGUGUGGUAACCCUGCCAGAUUUAUUGCUUUAUUCAUUAUUUAUGCAGACAGCAGAUGCAAUACAGAUUUAGGGACUGACCACUGAAAAGAAAUGGUUGACGUGGCUUCACCAGGUGCAUUAAACACUUCGGCAUUUCAUUGCUGUGUGGUUCCUAACCCCUGUGCUAAGAUACUGGUAUUUAUUAGAAGUAGCGCCCACCAAAGCUGAUGUUUCCAUUGCGGGGAUGGUGUCCAGGGGCUGCGGGGGUAAGCGUACCGCGCAGAUGAGGUGCUCUUCCUCCAGCACCUGUAAGGUGAUAGAUGCUGCAUGGGAAAUCUCUUGCGUAAGAGAUGGGGUGUAUGUCCCUUCCACCAGGGAUCACCUGGGGCUAAUAACAGCCAGUGCUCCCAGUGCCUCCAAGGGGGUUUAGUGGUCAGUAAGCCUUAAUGGGUCAGUAAGCCUAAGAACCCCAGGGAAUGGCAGAAGUUGUGCCAGGGGAGGGUCAAUUGGACAUGAGGAAAAGGUUCUUCACCCAGAGGUGCUGGACACUGAACAGGCUCCCCAGGGAGCUGUCACGGCCCCAACCUGACAGUGUUCAAGAAGAGACUGGACAACGUCCUCAGACACACGGGGUGACCUGUGGGGUGUCCUGUGCAGGGACAGGGGUUGGACUCCACGAUCCUUGGGGGUCCCUUCCAACUCAGGACAUUCUGUGACUCUGAACAGUAUGCUGGGAGCCCUGUAGAGGAGCAGAUCCCACAUGUGGCACCUGUGGAGCCUCGUUAAUUGCGGGGAGGAGGUGCUAAUGAGAGCUGCACCAUCCCCUGGGUCAUGUUUGCUCUGAGGGGUGAGGAGUGAAGCUGCUCCUGGAGGGAAGGGCAGAGCAGUGCUGCUGAGCUUGGGUUGUGCACCUCUGUCCCUGGAGACAUGACAGCAGAGGCUCUGACGGGCAAAGGUUGGGGACUUGUUGGGUGUUGCAGCAAAAGCUUCGUGUUAGGGACAAGCCCUGCAUCCCGUCCUGCUGCAGCGCAUUGUGAAAGUGUCUCCUGCUUCCUCUGUUUCUGACGAACGCUGCUAUCAGCUUGGCUAUUGCUCAGCCACGGUGAUAUUGCUGCUUGAUUUACACGGCCUCUCUGCUUCUUGCUCCUGUGCUGCAAACCCUCCCUGUGGACCAAAACCUGUGAUGCUCUAUAAGCAGCAAUGAGUACACUGCCCCAGGUUCAACCCUCACACUGGGCUCCUGCGCUUUGGGCACAGAAAAUCAGAUUUCAGAGCACUGCGUGCCAGCUGUUCUUCAUCUUCCUGUUGUAUCAGAGCUCUGCAGUGAAGCAAUAACGCCUUCCGUGACUGCAGCGUGUACUGACAAAGGAAACUUCUCUGUUGUGCCUUGAAAGAAGGUUCCUGAACUACAGAAUCCCAGACUUGCACUUGUAACGUCAGCUGUCAGAAAGCUGCCACGCUUCUCUUGGUCAACAGCAGUGUUGUUUGCUGCCUGUCUGCAUCAAGGUCAAAAUCAGAAGAGCUGGUAUCAGUGGUUUACACCAAGCAGAGAACUUUCCUGAUACUGGUAUUCCAUGAAGCUACUGGAACAUGCCCUGUGCACUGCUCUGUAAGGAAUCAUUGAGUUCUCAUUGCUUCAGAUGAGGGAUUUUCUCCCAGGUAUUCCCAGCCAGCAGGUUCGUGUUCCUGAACAGGGCGCAGCGUUUGCGGUUGUCUCUGAUCUGGUACUAUUGUUAUACAAAAAUAAUAUGCUUUAGAUGUCUUCAGCCAGAAAGGUGUGAUAGACCAUCCCAUGAAUAUUGCUAAGAUACCAUCUUGGAACUUGGAGUACUUCCUGCUCCAGAGAAAGAUUCAGAUUUUUCUGUGCUUUAGUGAUGUUUUGGCAGAUGCUGCAAGGGGAAAAAUACCCUUCAAGCUCCUUCUCCAGUUCCUCAAAAGAGAAGGGUGGAGAUUAUUUAUAAAUGCUACUAGAGGUUUGAGAGAGAAGAGAGGUUUGAAGGACUGUGGAUACAACUAUUCUUUAAUAGAGAAGUGAAGUGUAAAUCAGUUGGAUGAGAACCUGUCACAGUCGAGCCCCACCAGCUUCCCCGUGCUGUGAAAGGGCUGUUGCUGUGAGCCUCGCUCCUCUCUCUGCUCCAUGUUUUGUUCAACUGUUUUCCCUGUAAAUUGAAAAUGGGACAUCUGUAAUGUGGAGAUAUUCUGGCAGGCAGGGUGUCAGAAAAUUUGUGUAUGAUGCUCUUGUAAUGAUGUUUUCUAGUGGCUGCAGCUUUCGUCAAAUGAGCACAGACAUCCAUCCAUCCAUGGUAAUAUUCCAUAAAUAAGUGUGUACGGCCAAAUCACUGGGCAGCACACACAUGGGCUUUAGCUUAGAGCUGAACAUUCAAUUUAUCUGUUUUGGCAGAAAAAGAUGAAUUUGUGGUUUGGUUUGUUUUGUUUUUAACGUCAACUCUUUCCCAGGCCAUUCUUACUUUGGUUUUAUGAGCCUCAGGAUGACUCUGAGAAAGUGUUUGUUUCCCAUAGCCCCUCUGUUGUUUAGCAGUGCUUUGGGUUCUGUUUUUGCACAAAUGUUCCUGUAUUGGUUUCUGUGGUCUUCAUAUCCUUGGUAGCCCACCUUGUUACACAAGAUGUUUGUGAUACGUGGUGCCACCUGGAUGAGUUCUCCUCAGGUCUACCAUUUUCAUAUGUCUAACAUCAGAUAAGCAAUAUGCAGCUUGUUACCUCAAUAGAACGACAGAGCCUUACCACAGUUGGUGGAGCCAUGAUUAUUAACUAAGUCUAGGGCAUUGUUGCAAGUUUUUGGUUUGCUUAAUGCACCUUCCUAAAACUGAGCUGCUGGGCAGGGGGGUUGGGUUGGUUUUUGAGAUGGAGGAGACGGUUUGAGCAAUUGGAUCAGCAGAAGUGACUUCUGAUCAGUUUUUAAAUCUGGCCUCACUUAAAAGCUGCUGUUGUACCCUGGCACUAACCCUAUUGAUCUUGUAGGGAGAUUAAUAGAAUGACGUUGGAACACUGGGGUACUCAGAAACACAGGGCAGGAGCUAUGCUCACACCCUGAAGGUCUCUCCAGCUCUCAUCAGUUCACCAAAGCAACAUGUGGUUAUCUCCUAAAAGAGUACAUUUCUACCUCGCAGCUGAAAACACAUUUACUGUGAUCUUUUUGUGGCAUCUCUUUAGUGCAGAAUGCUGAGCUUCACUUGUGUAGAUUUGGUUUGUUAUUUUCACCAUCUGACUGCUCUAAUCUGUCAGAUUUACAGUCUCAUUAUUUUACUUUAUUAUUAGAUCCCAGAUUAAUUAACACUGCAAUGGUGCUGGCUCAUUAGCAAUAUUCAUUGGGGUCAUCCCACACAGAUAAGUGUACCAACCUAAGGACAUGGAUUUCCUUGUUAUGUUAUCACAUUAUUCACUUGUCCUUACCAUCUCGGUGACACUGUGUUACUCCGUAAUGCCGGAAGAGUCCACUUAGCUAAAUAUUCUCCAUCAUCAGUUACCAUUUGUGUUGUUUUACUCUUUGUUCGCACUGGGCAGUGUGGUCUGCUGCUGCACUGACAUCUUUCCUGAGCCUCUGCCUGCGCAGCUUGUAUGCAAAGCAGUAUUUGUGGUAUCGCUGCAGGAAUAAUUUGAUUUAUUUUGCAUGCAAAAGAGAUAUAUCUUACUGAAUUCUCCUACUUCCACAAUAACUAGAUAUCAAUUUAUCAAUUAUAAGGUCAAGUCUCCUAAAUAACAUCUGGCUGAGUCUGCUGUUUCUUUCUUUGUUAAUAAAGCAAUUUUUCCUCCGAUCAUCUUGCAAAGUACCAUUACUCAGAGGCUGUGUUUUCUUUAUGUUGUGGCUCUGAGCCUCAUUUCAAAACAAACCUCUAAGCCCCAGUUGUGAUGGGAUUGUCUGUCGAGCUGGUGUUUGUCAAAUACUGCCUCCCUCCUCUGCAAAAUGUUAACCUGUAUUACCUUACAGUGCUGUAUGUCUUAGAUGCUUCAGGAGCCUCAUGGCUAUCUGUCAUGGUCUGAGGCAGCUACUAACUCAUGUGCUGGACGCUAGAUAUCACCUGAAAUUUUGAAAGAUUUGUCUUUUGGGGUGUUUUUGACAUUUCUGGCCUAUGUCAGAUUAGUUGGAGUGAGUGAGCAGGAGCUUUAGUGAAAUACUGUUUUUUGUGAUUGCUUUGAGGUUCCCCAGGUCACCUACUCUUCCUAUGAGUCUGUGGAAAGCCAAAGCUUGCAUGGUUCUGGAAGUUGUACCGCCCUACUCAUCCAAUUCAGCCCAUGAAACACAAGUCCACAGACUUCCUCAGGUUAAUUCUUGCCUGGAUUAGGUUACUUGCUGCAGAGACCAGGAGCCAAGCAAAGUGUGCAGCAGCUCAUUUGUCCUGGAGAAGUCGAGGCUGCCCAUCCUCGAGUAUCUGAGAGCUGUAAACCAGCCUUUUCCCCAUCACAUAGCCAGACAUGUACAUGCUGUACAGCCACCAAGAAUCAGGAAAUGUCCCUUGCCCAUGGCCAGCUGGGUGUUUCCAUCACUAGUCUGGAGGUCUGGGGCAGGGCUACAGUCCCGUGUCUGGAGCAGGCCUGGGCUGGUGAGCUUUAGACUGCCCAUGUUUGAGAGUUCACCCCUUCUGUCAGAUAAAAGGAAUGGAUUAAAAUUCUCCAAAUGCAGAAAAUGUAUCCUUGUUUCAGUUUGCAUCUUCUUGUCCUCUGUGUCUGUGGCUCAUCUGUGAGAAGGAGGCAAACUGAAACAAGGAUACAUUUUCUUCACUGCAAGGAGCAGGAGGUCUCCUGGUAGUGUAGGUGCUGAGCAGUUAAGCAUGGUCUUCUCCGUGGUGCUUUAAGGUGAUGGUAUAGGUAGUAGAUUCAAAGGAGGGGGCUGUGUUCAGCAUUUUGGUCAUGGUGCCAAACAGAAUUGUCCUCACUUGUCAGAUCUCCCCGGUAGCUGGGAUGCCAGGACCUCUUUUGGCGCUGGUCCCUUGGCCUGUGCAUUUUGUAAACCUCAAAAUGACAUUCCCAAUGACCACCAAAACAACAAGGAGAUCAGCCUUCCUCCUGAACUAAAAGAUGCUAAGGGCAAUGGUAGCACUGCAAAGCUGUUUAAAGCCCCUUUCCUGGUUGUUCCUCCUAAGCCUUCCAUUUAGAAUUAUUUGAAUUAGUGUACGUUGCUAUCUGAGAAGUUUUUUUGCUACAGGCACUGUAUUGACAUCACCAGUAUCUACUGCUUCUGGGAGAAAGAGCAGCUUGAACAAAGGCUUUGAAAGUAUCAGUGUGUUCAGAAGCCAGAGUUGGGAAUUGAAGCCAGAUACCACGAGCGUGUUAACAUUUCAUUUAAUCACAAACCAUUAUCUCCUUCAAUGACCAUCUCAGUAAUAUGGCCAGAAUUCAUUUUCACUGAAGUCUGAAGACUGGUAUUGUAUUUAGGUUUAGCAUUCCAGUAUGCAUUGAUGAGCUAGAAGCAGCCUGAAGGGAAAAUAGAUGUAAGAAAGUAGUUCUUGAUGUUAGAGAUGACAGGGUAAUACACAUGAAGAAAGUUACUCCGAGAUUUUGUUUUCCUUUAAGAGGAGACACAUAUAAGUAUCUAUAAUAAAGAGAGCAAAAAAAUCAUGAGCCUUUAAAACAAACAAGCAAUAGAACACAGAUCCCUGAUGUGACUUGGUGCAUGUGGUAGUCUGGAAGCAGUUUAUUGCAGUUGUCCUUCAAAGGAGUUCCCAUGCUGGGAUUGCAAAUUAUUUGGAAACAAAUUAUUUAGUGUGACGAAAUAAAGGGUAUGGCAUCCAAAAGUGAAAUAAAUCCCUUAGAGCUUCAUCUGGAGUGGAAGCAAUACUUGUGAAUGUCUCCAGGUCAGAACAAAUCACACAGGACUUUAACUUACCAAACCCCAACCAAUUCUGCCAAUUCGUGAGUUGUACCUACCAAUGCCACUGCUGUGGCGAGGCUGUUGUCCCAAAACCAGGGUUCUUUACCCUGUGUGCAUCUAAGUGAGCCAAAUAUAGCACACAGAGAUGAGAUAUUGUUUAUUACAGAGUUGUGCAACCUGGCUGCUGGAACAAAGCCAGCACGCCAGCGGGAAAGGUAACAGCCGUUAUAUACAGAAACUUAUCCCUACUCAGGGCAGUCCUAAAGAGCCUACUAGUUGCACAUUUGCACAUUGCAUUAGAUAAUCAUUUUAGCGUAUAAUGAGCAGCAUUCAGCUAAAGGACACUUUAUCCAACAAUCUUGAGAUACGUGUUAAAGAGAGACUCAGCUAAUUGUGCGGGCCUCAAAAUGUCUAAAGCUGCAAGGCCAGUCUCUGAUUAGGAGUUUUGCAAAGUCACCCUGGUCUUUGUCAGACUGACCUAAAACUGAAAGGAUUUACCUAUCUUUAGGUUAGUAAUUGCAGACAGGAUUCAUUCUUCUCUGUGGUAAUGACAGCAAAGGUGAUAAACACUGCUCUGCUCUGCUCUCUGGGGUCCUGCUGUGAAGCUCAUGGGAUUGGGAUUGCAGCUGUCCUGGGAAAGAAGGGGUAAUGACACUCGUUUGUAUGCACUUUUAAUUGUACAGCUAUUGGGUCUCAAAAUGAGAAGUACAGCAAAACCUCUGUUUAACUAGGAUUAGUUUCUUUACAUAUAAUGGAGAAAGACUUCACUUGGUUAAUUUUAGCCUGCCUCCUGCCUUUCAUUAGCAGAUAGAAGGUUCUUUGUGUGCAGGGGCGGGGGGUACGGAGCACAGGGAGGGAGAUCUCCGAGGCUGCUGGUUUCUGCUGGGUGGUUUUCCGCAGGAAGCAGCUGGGAUGCUGGAGCUGCUUGAGGGGGCUUGGACACAGACAGAGGCUGUCAGGUGUGUGCCUCUGGCUCUGUGAGAAGCCUUAGUCAGAAACUAUUUUUGUUUAAAGCAGUUCUCACAUUCUGCAUUAUUCAAGACUUCAGGCCUUUAGCAGAGUCCCUCCAGCAGCCCCUGCUGCAGACAAGGGCCCAUCUGUGACCCGGCUGCGUACAGCAAGGGGAACUUCUGUCCUUCCCCACUUAGAGAUGGAACCAAGAAAGUCAAUGGUACUGACAGUCCUGAGGUCACAGGCAGUGCAGAUUUUCCCUGGAGUUUUACCAGCGCCUGUGGGGGAUGCAGACAUUUGCAUGAAUCUUAAUAGCUUUGUAUUUUGGAUAAAGCUGGACCCAACUUUAUACCAAAGUCAUAUCUGGCAAAUGCAGUCUGAGGUUAGACAAAGCAGUGGUUUUUGUUUCUUUUUUCCCCCUUUUGCUCAGGAAAUAGUUACCUGCAAGAAGCUUCCUAGUAAAAUUGCUCAUCUUGGGGUCCUUCAUCAAUCUUAGAAGAGCCAUGUGUCUGUGAAGCUAUGCACACUGUGAUGUUGAACUUUCCAGCAGACAUAGGUCUCCAUUUAUUGUCACACAAGAAGGUUCAAGGCUAUUUUCUGACAGGGAAUCAAGGAAAGCAAGAGUUUCUCAGAGAUUUCUUGUGCUUUUGGAGAAGGAAGGCUCUAUGUGGAUGGUGCAGGACACAAAGUGAGAAUUGCAGCAGAGCCGGUUGCCAGACCAGACUGUUUCUGUGCUUGAUGCAGCAUCCUUAGGACAGAAAGCCUUGGGUAGUCACGUUGGAUAGGCAGACAGCAUAACAUCCUGGGGUUUAUUUAAUUUUAAUUAUGAGGUUUGUUUAAUUGUGGCACUGAUGAAAGGGUCACACAAAACAUGCACAGCACCAGUGAAGCUGUGUGAAGAUACUUGACGGAAAUGAAAAGAGCACUCUUAGCCUAAAUCCCCAGUGCCCAUCCCUGGAUGCCAUGGGCAGAACGAGAUACUGAAGCAGAGAAAUGUUGAACGGCUCCUGAAAGCUGCGCAAGAGCCUUUCUGACCAUUGCUGUUCUCUGGCAAAGCCCCUUCUCACCAUGUCCUUUGAUGACCAGGAUUGCUUUGCUCAGUGCUUAACCUGAACGUCUGUGAUCUGAAACCCUCUGUGGGGUGAACAGGAUCAAAAACAUCGCUAUAAAGCCAGUAUUAAAAGAGAUGCUUCUAAAAAGCACAUAAAAAGGACCAGGAAUCUUGCACCAAAUCAUUUCCUCCAGAAAGGAAAGUUGUGGGCCGAACCUUCCAGACUUCGCCAUGAGUCACGGCCUCCCGCCACGCUCCGGGCGGGAGGAGGGGGGCUGACCUCACAGGUCUCUGUUCAAGAUGAUCAACUCUGUCUUAAAAGUCUUCUGGAGAUGACUCACAGCUCUCCUUUCACAGCCCGCAAGCAGAACGAUGCAAUCUGUGCGAGUGAAGGGAUCUGCCACAGACCAUCAGGCUUUCAGUGCAGAUGAAAACUGUCAGUCACUUGUUGAGUUGUGCAGUUUGUAAGCGUAACAAGCCCCGUUUCCCAUUGUUUUGGAGAAGAAAAAAACUAACAAAACAAAAUCCCCCAAAACAACAACAAAAACCAACAGGAAAAUAAAGUAAAUUUCUUAACAGAAAUUAAUCUUUUUAAAAUUUCAAAUUGCAACAGUUUCCCAAUUUUUUUUUUCCCCAUGAGCUGUUAAUCCUCCACCUGAACGUGAAUGCAGGGAUUUCCUAGAGAGGACCAAGCUGUGCCUCUGCAGGGCACCCCGCCAUGGUGGGGCAGGGGCUGUCUGUGGGGCACAGGCCUUGGGGGGGUAACAGAAUGGUUGCUGGGUUUGAAGGGAAGCAGGUCCCUAGCAGAAGGUGAUAGGGGACAUGUUCCUACCACUUACUAGGUGACAAAAUGCUUUUCAUGAACACGUCCUUUACUGCAGUCUGGCGAAUUAAUAAGGAUCAUGGAUAGGAAAAAAAAGACAAAAAAUCUAAUCUCCCCGAGAAAUCCUGGAGUGAGGUGGUAUCCCGAGUCUUUUCCAUAGGAACUAUGGGAUGGUUCCUGUUUUCCACAACUGUUGCACUUCCCAGAUCACAUUGAACACUCUUCCUCUUGUCCACGGAAUUUACUGAGUUCUCUCUUCAGGCCUGGGAGGAAUCAGAGCCGUGGUUUGCAGGCUCCUCGGUUAACCCAGAGGUGUUAUAGCCACGGGGGUUGCUCUGAGCUGCUGCUGAGCCCUCCUGCGGUAGCAGGGGAUGGUACCCCUGUGUGUAGCAGGGGACGGUGUCAGACCUAGCGGAGAUUAGAAAACUCAAGCAGGUGCACAUGUAGUAAAGAUCUUUCAAAUACAUUGGACUGUGAGUAAAUUUUGAGCAUGUGGUGGUGAAGAAAAAGAAUAUAGUGGUCUGAAUGGAGGAACAGGCUUGCCAAAUGCUUCAAGAAAGCUCAAAGAGGUUUAAAUGGUAUUUUCCUCUGCAUUUAUAUGUGCUGAGCACCACUGAAAAGGGCAAUGGCCAGAGGUAAUGUUGCUGAGGAUGACAGCCCAGAUGAACUUCACGUAUUUGAAUAGUGUUCAGAUAAAACACAUGGUCUGGGUCAGCGUACUGAAGAGUUUUUGGGAAUGCCACACUAACGUGGCACAUCUCAGGAUGAUUUCUAACUGAAGGACAUAGAAGAUGCGUGGGGCUGCAGCAGAACUGAUGAGUGACUGAGGCUGAAGAGUCCAGCUGGAAAUUCUGGCAGGGCUAAUGGAGUGUGCGAUGAAAGACUGGAUUAGGGCUGGCAGCUGGAACAGAACAGCCUGAGAUGAUCUGUUGGAAGAUCUUGAAUUAACCUGUGACAAUCAGCCUCCCGGGGAGCACAAGCUGCCGGUUCAAUGUCCCCAGCGGGGGGGGGGUGACCCGGGAUGCUGGGCGGGGGUGGAUGUGAGCAGAACUCCGGACCCCGCGGAGAGGAGCUGCUGCGGAGGGUCCUGCUGUGCUCGGCGUCUGAGCCUGCGGAAAGCGCUGCCGCAUGGAAACCGAGCAGCGUUUUCGAGCACCAGCGUGGUGAUGUGUGGGCAAUGACAGCCCGGACUGCACAGGAUUAUCUGUCAGAUGAGCGUUAUUGUUGCAGCAGAAGAUGAACGAGCUAGCAGCUUGAAAGCAAAAGGGACACUUACUGAUUUUAAAUUGAAAAUUGACACAAUCUCAUGAGUUAUUAGAGGCAGCAUUUGCAGUACUCGAAGGGGAGCCAUAUGCAGUGGGAGGUGAGCAGUUAAAACGCUCAGCUUUUGGUUGGUCAGUUAAGGGAACGCAAACUAAAGGAGGUAGGGGUAAAUAACUGGAAAAUUUUUGCUGUGAUAACAGCUUGGAAAAAAGUGCUUGUUACUGUGUUAAGUGUAUUCAAGUCCUUGGUGUUUUUAAAUCUGGGAGUUAGUUCACUGAAAGGUCAGGGACUGAAUCAAUGAGGGGGAAUUUGAGAAUGUCCCCAGGGAAUGAGAAACUCUCAGCAGAACAUGCCCAGAGCUGAGAGUGCCCCUUGGCCAAAGCCACCUUUCCCUUCUGCUAAGGCAGGCAUGGAUUUCUGUUGUUGGUGUCAGAUGCAGAUAAUAAGAAUGUUAACUUUGUUUUUUAUUAGUUCUAGCAGAGGAGAAAAAUGGAAUAUUUAGCUGGUGCUGGGUGAGGUAAAUCAACAAUGAAAAAUCUCCACUGCUGCUGGGAAAUUGCAAUUUGGAGAGGAAGCAGAGCAGUGAGGGCUCCUGGGCACCAGACUGCGCGUUCAGCCCUGCCAGACCUGCAGCACAGCACCGGCUCACUCUGGGAAAGUCCUUGUCCCAGAGGUGAGGGCUUCCCUGGAGUUCCAGCUGGGGUAUGUGAAGGUUUGCAGGGAGCUUCUAGAGUCAGUAGAACUGACCGUUCUUGCUCUGUAAGGGCCUCAAGAUAUGGAUGUGUGGCACAAAAGCAAGAGGAGUCCCAACCUUGUGCGGAACAAGGCUGGUAUGCAGGGCUGUUCAUUAGAGGAAUGAGUGGCAGCUUGUACCUUGCUGCCCUUCCACAUCUUGUGGGGUGAUGCAUGCAAGCAUCCAUCUAGUAGCAUAUAUUUUAAAAUGGAUGCAAAUAAAUACGUAUAUAACAUAGACCAGAGCAGACUGAACAGUGAAAUCUGCAGGAGUGAGCAGCUCCUGUGGCAUGGGGUGGUCUCCGGUCUCUGUAUCCUUUCAGUAGUGGUGACUAAGGUUCCACUAUUUGUCCUUGCUAGUAAAUAUUGGGAGGCACUCAUUGUCAGAGCAGGCAGUAUCUCAGAUCUUGCAAAUUUCAGUAAACUGUUCUGCUCUUUACAUCUUUGAAAGAAGCAAGGGCAGGCUGAGCUUGCAUAUGCAGACACAGAUCUACGUUAACGAGAUGUCAAUUAGCCAGGCUUGCCGCGGAUGGGACCUACUUGUUGUCUGUCACUGAAAAUACACGACUUUGUAUCACACUGCUUGUCUGAGUGCUCAAUAGGGGGUGAGAGAAAGGACUGUUUUCCUUUCCUCUUCUUGUUUAUACAUAUAUAUAUAUAUAUAUAUAUAUAUAUAUAUAUGUUAGCACAACUGAAUGGGAAAUAAUGUUUGUUUCCAGAAAUGGGUUUUCAGGAGCUCCUAAGAGGCACUGCAAACACUCAGCAUUCACACACACCCCAAUAAGAAUAAACAGGGAACUGAUGCAUGCGAAUAGACCAUGGGUCUGGGCAUUUGUCCUCCCAAACUCUCCAGGGAAUGCUGUUAGAGUCUGAACAUUGUGGGAGGAGAACUGUGAUUUAUUCACAGAAUCACAGAAUGUUAGGGAUUGGAAGGGACCUCAAAAGAUCAUCCAGUCCAAUCCCCCUCUUACCAUAAAUAAAUAAAAAUAAAUAAGUAGGCUAAAUUAGUAAUAAAUAGUUCAGCCAGCUCUAGUGCUAAAUAAACGUACUGAAUUGUAAUGAAAAUACUAAAGCCUGUUUGAACUGGAGCUAGAAAUCCAAGGAGAAAUAACUGUGGAGCUUAAAUUAGCACUCACCAUAAAAUAUAAAUAUAUGAUAGAAAAUAUAUAUUUUUUAUUAUUAUUACUAUUCUUUUACCUCCUGAGAUGUUAGAGAUUCAUCUGUUCCCUGUUUUUGGAAGGCUUGAACCAGACCCUAUUCAAUGCUACACUGUGACACAAACUACUAAAGAGUUAUAAAAUUCCUUGAUGUAUGCUUUUGGACAGUAACUGUAUUUGUAGAGGCUCUCAUGGGGGUGCAUUAAUACUCAUAUGAGACUCUUAAGUUCUUAUAGCUAUCUCCAUAUAAAGGAUUUUUAUAGGAUUUUCCACACUGGGGUGGGGUGGGGGCUGCACAAUUUUAAUUAUACAACUCAAGCUGAAUUGGUAAGAGUUACAUGCGAAGGUAAAAGCCCUUUAGCAAGGCAGACUCCUUCACUUGAACUUAAAAUAAUUCUCUUCUUGCGAGUUCCCCUGAGAACAGCUGGAAAAAUCAAUAGCUUCUCUGUCACACAGGAGAGACUCGGCUUUGCCAGAGCAGGGAGCAGCGUGGUGCAAGGGUUUGCUCUUCGUGCCAGGUUUUGCUCUUGGUGCCAGGGUUUGCUCAUGGUGCCGGUAUUUGCGCGUGGUGCCAGGGCUUGCUCAUGGUGCAAGGGUUUGCUCAUGGUGCCAGGGUUUGCUCAUGGUGCCAGGGUUUACUUGGUGCCAGGGUUUGCUCAUGGUGCCAGGGUUUGCUUGGUGCCAGGGUUUGCUCAUGGUGCCAGGGUUUGCUUGGUGCGAGGGUUUGCUCAUGGGUGAGAGAGUUUGCUCAGUGUGAGGAUGUGCUUGGUGCAGGGGUUUGCUGGGUGCAAGGGUUUGCUUGUGGGUGAGAGGGUUUGCUCAGUGCGAGGGUUUGCCUGUGCUCUGACACCAGCACAGCUGAUGUGACCCACGUCUGGGUGGCACCAGGCUGCUCAGGGGCCACCAAGUGCCCAUCAGCCUGUCAUGGCCACUUCAGACCAUGCAGAGCUCUGCAGAGCUACAAACUGUGGUGUGAGUCAAAGACUUAAGAGCAGCUUUGAUGAAACCAGGUGGUUGAGGCAAAGAAAAGCAACAUGCAGAUGGAGUUCUCAGUUGGGGUCAGGGGUGUUUCCUUUGGAGAAGGCGCAGCUGCCCUUUUAUUGAGGGCAGAACCCUUGAGCAAUGGGGUGGGAUCAGCUUUGGGACUGCACCCCUGUCUGGUGUGCUGGGGAUGACCAGCAGUGCUGGUGCUUUCGUCUCUUUGGCUCAUUGACCAAGAGAAACCGAAAUGCCCGAUGGGAUAAGGAGGGCUUUGGCGUUAAGGGGCAGCUGGAAACUGGUCCCGAUGGUGGACAGGAGUGUCUUGAUGUGCAGACAGACUGGCAAUUCCAUGCCUCUGAGGUGUGGGCAGCAUGCUGGCAGUGAUAGAAAGCUAUCAGGAGCUAAGAUUCACUAGUUUGCCUGAUGAAAAUAGGAUUAUCUCCCUCCCUAAGUCCUGCAAAACAGCUCUCAGAGACAGAAUAUAUCUGUAUUUUCUGACUGCACUACACAACAAACAGAAUAUAAGAAUUUAGGACAAACAGAUAAGGUUUGUAGUCUCUCUAUGUGAACUGAAAAUGAAAAAAUGAGAGUUUUUUGCUUCAUUAUAAUAGCACAGAGCAGAGUGAUAUAGUGGCUCUGCAUAUGAAAUAGAGUUAGGAGGAUAAUCAGCCCAAACCUCCUACAAUCCUACAAUAGAGGCACCGGCGCUGGAGGCAGGAAGGAGAGUUAAUAAAUUAAGGUGCAACUAAAAUAGAUUCAUGGUCAUUUAGCAACGUGUCAGGGCUCCUAGAGAAAUGAGUAUAAUGUGUUUAAGUCUAAUGUACAAACAACUUUAAACAGAAAAGAAUGAAGGAAGGAGAAAAUGGGGGAAGAUUUAUUGCAGCAAGCAGCUGAGGUCAGUUUGCUUUCACAGGAGAACAGGAGGAACCAGCACAGGCCUGUUGGAAGGUGGCUGUGGCACUUCUUCCCUCGGUAGGAAAUAAAACACCUUGAGAAAGUAUCUGAAUACCCUUUUUUGGGAUGGGGAGUGGUCAGGUAGAAUAAACUUGAGCCACUGAUGUAUUUAUUGUUCCUCCUGCAUUGUUGUGAGAAGUCGCCAUGUCCGCUGGGUUUCCCAUCGAAGGACGAUAAUCAUCUAUCCAUCUCGGGCAGAAUAGAUGCAGCCAGUGGUUCUCUGGCUGCUGGGAAUCCACCUGUGCCUGCACAUGUCGGCUAGGUACUUAAAGAAAAAUAUAUUCAGCUAUGUAACUAUAUAAAUAGUUACUUUUAAGCUCUGAUCUAAAGAGAAGCGGGGGGAAUUCAGAAGUGUCUAUGCAGGCGUUCAGUAUGGAUUUAAGUUCACCGAGGGAGCAGCUCGCUGGAUGUAGAGAAAGCUUUAGCAGGUGUUUGUAGACAGAACAUAAAGAGCAGUUUUGCUGAAUGGGCAGUUGUGGUCUGAGCCCUCUCUGACAGAUGCAAGGCAAGUAGAAAAACAGGGAAUAAUUUCAUUUCUUACAGUGGUAUUACUUUCUCUGCUCCUAUGAAAGCAUGUCUGUGCCUAAAUAGGCUCUCUAAGGGCUGUGCUUUAAAAGGUGUCUAAGUGAAUGUUUUAGAAUAUUUUUUUCCCUCUGGGAUUGAAAUAGAGACAUUAAUUCCAUUAAUUCCAUUUAAUGGCUUUAUUGUGAUGGUGCUCACACCCCUUCUAUAUUCAUUUUUUGUGACUUGUUUAGCAGUUACUGUUGGUGCUGUUCACUGAAGUGGCACAUUAUAAGUGAACAGGCUCCUAGAUGACAUGGAUGAUUUUUAAACACUUUAUACAACCAGAACAUAUUCAUGCAGGACAGACAUUUAUUCAGUUGUUUCCAGAGACUGAGCCACUAACAGUUACAUUAGAGAGACAAAAGGAUCUGAGCUUCUGCUCAAGAAGUGCUGCUUUUGGCUGUUACCCUAAUGAAUCUACUGUUGCUAGAUAACAAUAGAUAAGAAGUUUAAGCUUCAGGCUUUGUCUGCUUCAAAAAUACCUUAGAAAAAUGAAAAAUCAGGACAUGCCUCUUCUGCAGUUAAUCUAAAACUCCAGCGAUGUCAACAGCACAGGUGUGGGGCUCAGGAAGAAUUAGAGCAUGAGAGAAAAAAACCUUUUCUUUAUGAAUCAAGUGUUUGAUUUAAAGUUUAUAAAUGUACUUUAGAAAUCUCUCACUUAAAUCUCUUAUUUGAGGCAAUAAGGUAUCCUAAGCUCUUAACAUUGUAGAGCUAAGUCUAAAAAUAAAUGUAAAAGAGAAGCAGAUGUAGCCAAAUGUAAGCCUUGAUCCUUGUUUAAGAUGCUGGCAAACGGGCUGGGAUCCCUGGGCCAGCCGGCAGCCCCUGCACACUGGGAUCCACCUGGGAUCAGUUCUGCUGCAAAACUACAAUAAAAAAUGUCCAGAUCAUGUUGUCAGUGAUGCUGUAAAUCUGCUCCUCUCACCGAAUUUAACUGGAGCCCAAGUGCCCAGAGCGGCAGGUCAUGCCCCUGUCGAGCUGUGUGCAUUAGUUUGAGUUUGAAAAUCAUACCCUUUGUAGUUAAGCUGUAAGUGUAACUAUAUAAGAGAUUUAUAGGGGAGAAUUUUGUGUUGAUUUACUGUUACUCUACCCAGAUGUGCGCUCCUGGAUGUGUGUGCCGGGCACGGGCUUUCCCUUUGUAAAUCCUGGGAGGUUUCUGCGUUGCAAAGAGCAGGGCUCCUCAGUGCUGCGAUGACUGGGAGAAUCCGCAGUGUUGCUCACUAAAACAGGGCAAAAUGAGUAUGAUCUCAGUCGUAAAAUUCUUCAUUUCAUAGUUCAUGCCGUUUCCAAUUCCUCACCACAGCAGCGCUUCAUCAGGAUGCAGGACAGGUUUACUGACCCUAUCCCUCCUGCUCCAUUGUUCCUGAAACUGCCGCAGAUCUUCCCAGCAGCUCUGCUGGUUUUAUUUGUUUAUUUACUUUCCAUUAUCUUCCUUUUUUGAGGUCAGUAGAUGACCGGCAGAUCUGCCCAAUUUAUUCCUGUGUAUGGCAAAAGAGACCUGGGUCACCCAAUGAGCCAUGAACUUCUAUUUCUAUUUCGCUGUGGUUGUACGGCCGUGAUCUGCACACUGCCAGUCAUCCACCAUAUUGAUGAGAUUAGCUGGUAAUUAAAAACCCAGCCAAGCCAGACAGAAGAAGAUGACUCAAUUAGCAGAAUGUCACUGAAUCUAAUUUACUUUGCUUAUCACAGAUUCAUUCUCUAAUGACUUAGAAAAGGAGAGUAGGACACCUUCAGAGGGAGAUCCAGGGGCUUAAAGGCUUAAACGCUUUCUAACCCCUUUAUGCUGGUGGUUGGUUUUGCGGGAAGCGUGUCGACUCUGCUAAUGGCACGAAAAAGCUGGUUCCCAACAAAUGUGCCCUAAGAGAGUGUAUCGACACAAGUAUGCUGUUGGCUGUUCCAUGCGACAGGCAGUGGUUAGGUCAGACCUUCCUUUGUUUAUAAACCUUCGUAUGUUUUUAAGUUGAUAGUAAGCAGGAGCUUUGGGCGUCAUGUUCUUGGACCUGCGUUCAGGGAGCAUUCAAUCUCAGUGAUCGUGAACUGACACUGAAUGGGAUAUUUGGCAAACGAAAGUACGAGGGAUUCCUGGAAACUAAAGCAUGUCAAAAACAGACAUUUUCCACUGCAAUGAGUAUUUUAAGGCACUUCUCAACGUUUUUCUCAUUUCAAAUGUGAUGUUUGGAUGAUUAACAGUUGGAAUAAUGUAUUUUACUGAAGCCCUUUGGAAAUACUUUAAGAGACUGUUGGACAGAUGUACAGCUGAAUUUGUAUGUAAAGUGGAGAGUACAAACCAUUAGCUCUUCUGCUAUCUUCAUGGUAGAUAAUGUAGCAUAUUAUGGUUGAUUUAAGUGAGGAUAUUACUGGGCCCUGAGCUUUUAAUGUGAUCUACAUGACAAAGCCCACAUGGCUUCAUGGGUCUUAGCGAGCUCACGGGGACCAUACAGGGGUCCCUACGUGCCAGUCAUGCAACAGGAUCAGGGCUGAAGUCUGCAAGAUUUUCCUCUUGUUGGAGCUUGUGUAUCACUGCUCAAUACUUGACUUUUUUAGCCUGGAAAGAUGAUUUCUGGCUUGGCAAAGAGACACCAAAUGGAGCAAACCGUCUCAUUCUGAUAGCUUUGUUCAAGUAAUAAUAAAUAUAGCAGAAAAUAUGAAGCUCUUAAAGCUUCCAAAGCCAUUAGAGAAUAUAUCUUCAGAGACUUAAUCCACGCUGGCAUAUCUAACAGUCCAGUGAACUGGUUUGGCAACUGUAAUGAGGUGUGUGCUUUUCUGCAAGCGUGUGUGUAUAUAUGUUGAUUGCAUGAGGGAGGCAGGGGCUGAUAAUGAGGAUGGAUGGGAUGGGGAACCUUCUCUGUUUUGGUCCUGAAUCCAUUACCAAGUGUCAGAGACUGAAAAGGACAAUGUCUCUAACAUUGUGGCAGAACCAGUUCAUCCAGCCACAGGAGAUGGGACAUUGAGGAUCAGGUGAAUUGCAAUUUACGUAUCAAUGACAAGCUAAGAGGCACCAACAAAGGCCAGGUGGCUGACACAGAGGGUGGGGGAUGUGUGGCACUAAGGGGAAGGACUGCUGAGACCUUUCAAGGUAGCCCGAGACCCUUAGUGACUUUUCCAUCUUUCACAAUCACCUCGCAGUAGCACCUGUGGAGAGGACCAAAGAUUAUGCAAGCAGGCAAUCCAGAGGACUGUAAAUCCCAGCUGUGCAAGCACCGGGGCAGCCACCAUCCUGAGGACCACUCUGCCCAGCAGUGUCACCACAGGGACUGAACAAGACACUGGAGGACGCUGCACAUUGCUGUAUCUGAGACUGCAAACCCCAUCAUACACAAAGCAGAGCCAUAAGGAUGGUGGUAUCUCUCUCUCUGUCUCUUUUCUUUCUUUCCUGUACUUCUAUUCUUUUGCUUUCCUUCUUAUAAGUAAUACAGCAACGUAAGAUUUACAACCCCACAGGUGCCACAAACUUUUUAUGUUUACCAGUUGAACUUAAAUCACAUAAAUCCUUCUGCCACCAAAACAUUUGCCAGUUAGGCUGAGCUGCAAAAUAAAAGCCUUUUGUUUAAGGACCUUAAGUAUUGCAUAUAUGCUUUUCCAACCAAGGGGACCAACGAACCUGAGUCACCUCCCCCACUACCCAUACACCUGUGGGCGGGAUGUGACACCAAGAUUUAAGAAAUGUUGGUUCAGUGAGGCUGUAGCUGUCCCUAAAAUUCACUGCUUUCACUACAUUUAUAAUGCAGCUUCCACAAAGAAGGAAAAAAUGUUUAGAUGUAGAUUGCUGUGCAGAGACAGGCAUUAAGUAUUUUGCAGUGUGAAAUAUUGCACUUUAAAUAUUCUUUCCUGCUAUUUUCAAUCCCUCUUUCCUUGUUUCUUGCCCCAAUAGUUCUCCACAUCAUAGAAGGCAAUUUCUUUAACAAUGUGCAAUUGUUCGAGGGUUUCUUCCCUGCUCCAUCUCGGUUGCAACAAGCUGUUUUGCAGAAAUCUGGCCAUUGGCAAACAUACCGCUAUAAACUAGCCUGGAGAGAACAAAACUCAGUAAGGUAUUCUCAUUAAGCUAAUAAUGACAAGGAAAUCCAAAUCCUCUCCCCUGAGUCACUGGGGUGACAGUGCCAGGCGGCACUGUGUCAUGUUCAAAUGCUGCCAGUGGGUAUUUUGUAUGUGUGCUGAGAUCACGACUCGGAGACUUUCAGAAAAUGAAAUGAACUAUAUGAAUUUAUGACUAGCUGUAGCCUUGGUAUUAACACUUAUUAAUUCCGUUCUAACUCUGCUGUUAAUACCAUGAUUAUCCUUGUUAUUAUUACUUGCUUGCUUUGUUAUCUGGAGAACAGUGUUCACACAGAUUGCUCUUCUUGGGCAUAUAAGCCACAAAGCCCAGCUCAAAGACCCUGCAAUUUCAGAGCUAGAUCUGCUCUGCUCACAGCAGGUAGAUCUUAUUCUCUAAGCCUUUCCAGUGACUUUUUUGAUGGAAAAUGUUGAAGACUUCCACAGGGGCAUCCCAGUCUGGCUCCAAGAAGAAUAAGGCAGGCAACAGAAGAGAUUAAAUACUCAUUCAUUUUCCUUUUGUACGUACCAGCUGCAGAGAGUGGGUCUUUUUGUGGUUUCUAUCAGUGAGCAAUUUGUUACAGGUUCAGAGAAGAGAUGGAAAACCACAGGUAACUUUAGCAUGGCUCUGUUGUUGCAGCAUUGGAGCUGGUGUGUUCAGUAGAAGAGUUACCACAAAGCGGUAGGAGUGAACAGAAGCAGCAAAGAAAGCUGGGGAGUUCCUCAAGGAUCCAAGGGUGAGAGGCUUAGCCUUGGUGCUCUUAAACAGAGGGAACAAGAGGAGAGAAGCUGGAGGAUGUGAUCAGCAAAGCUUACACCAGAAAAGAUGAGGCUGGGCUGGAAGUGUGAGGAAGGCUGCAGGUGUGGGUUCUGGAUGACGGCUGGUUGUUGUAGGUGAUGUACAGAACGCUGUACCAGCGCACAGGAAGGAGAGAUACUUUAUAGGAAGGUGUAAAUGACUGAAAAAUUAUCAGUCAAGAACAAAAGAAAGAUAUGACUCAAAGAUAGUUGUAUUAGUGGAACCGGUGCUUUUACACACUGAAUCUCAGGGAUGGGACAGAUCAAAGGGGAGUGCAUCCCAGGAUUAAGACUGUUGAACAAAGACUCUCCCCCAAGGCAACUCUGGCUGUAAGAGGCAGUGGGGGUAUCAUCAUUUCAUUCACAAGCAGCGCCAUGGAAAAGAAGUGUUCAAACAGUUCUUAAGCCUGGUUCUAAAGCAUCCCUCUUCCCCAUGGAAUCUCAAAGUGUUUUGUAAGUCAGACACAUCAGGAAAAGGUCUCUGUCAACCAAAUAUUUAUUUGAAGCCAUAUCACUGGAAAACACAGCAUAUAAAAGGAACCCAAGUCUCUCAGGCUCAUGUGUAAACCAGUGAUGAUCCUCUGCUCUGAUGUUUUGGAGUACUUUUUAUAGAUUGCCAUCAUCGAUGCAUGGCUCUCCCUUAACUCCUUCAGGGGCUCCAUCCCUGGUCCCUCCCCUCGGCAGUGAGGCAGCUGUGGUCCGUGUAGCUAGAAAGAAUUUGGCGGCAGACAGGUUGGGUGGAUAAUAAGGCACAGGAGGGCCUUUUAUUGCUUUUGUGGGACCUGAAGAUGAGCACAGGAAGGAAUGGUUUCAUUCACACAUAAAAAGCCAGACACCAUCAAGUGUCGCUUUUAAUUCUCCACUCAUCAAUUAAAAAGAAGAGACGAAGAAGCUCGGAGCCCCGUGUGAUGCAGCCAUGUGCAUUGCUGCUCCCCGCACUCCCAGCCAGCUGUCUGGUGGUAAUUGGGGUCCACAGCUUUGCCUGAGAGUCGAUAAUUACCAUCGCCACUCAUCGUGUGAGUGCCAGGUGGAGAUGGUGGCAUUGGGGGAUGAGGGGUCUAAGAGCUGGGUCUGGAUGUGCUGAUGAGGAGGAACGUCCGUGUCUGCUUAUCGAAGUCACAUCCUGGCAAAGCACGACUGUAGAGGAAGGUGAGCAGGGUGAGGGGAACGGGAGUGGAGCGCAUGGUUGAAUAGCAGAGGAAGCAGCUGGGAAGAGAGGAGAGUUUCUACCACCUGCAAGAACAGGAGUAAAAAAGCCUAAAUUUCGUCUCUGUGGAGCUGAGGACCUGCUUGGACAGUUCUGAUCAUGGUUGUGGCUGUAAAGAUGUCCUCAGUCUCACCAUGGGCAGCUGGCACUGCCCAGCCACCCUGCUCAGCAGGUUACAUUUCAGCUGGGGGUUGGCUCCUCCCAAAAGUAUUGUCCAGGAUAUGGUUGUCCAGCCAUAGUGCUGUUCCUUGCACGUUUGCUUUGUUAGAUUUUACCCUUGUGCACUGGAGCAGGAGGUGCGAGGGGUGGCUGCUGCCCCUGACCUGCCCCGGGGCUCCCAUCGCCUGGCUCCCAAAGGCUGUCAGGGCACCAAGGGGUGCUCCGCAUGGACAGAGGGAACAAGACGUUCUCUCAGCACAAGGAUGUGCUGUGCCAAACCCAAUAGGUGCAGUAAGGCAUCAAGAAAUUUUAACGUGACCUAAUAAAAACAGUGCUGCCUGAGCAACUGAGAUGCAGCCUCUGCUGCACUCAAGGAAACUGUCCGGCAGUGCUGGGGAAAAUCAGAGCCCUGGAGCAGCCCUGCAGCUGUGCAAAGUGAGCACAAAGGGGGAACAGAAGGCACAAAAAUGAGAAGGAAAGGGAGCUUGGUCUUCAGCUCCCUGGCUGCUCCUGUGUGCUGUGACCUGAGCACGGAGCUGCCCUUCCUGCCAUGGGGAGCUGCGGCUCAGCGGGGAAAUCCAGCAGAGUCCGACCUAUGAGGAAGGUACUUCCCUCAAGCAUGUAAAAAAUGUUUUUUAAGAAAAGAAUGAAAAACUCCAGCAAACAAACCCAAAGGUUGUUUUAUCAGCCACAGAGUUACUAUGGGUCUUGAGUGGAGUAGGAUUACAAAUAGUGUAACAACAGUCUAUAUCUGUGUUAGCCUAAUAACAUUUCUGUCUUUGACCCAGCCUCUCAAGGCCUUCCACAGAUGAAUACCAAUGACCCAGGCCUUCAUUAUCCUGUCAUUACACAAAUCCUGCUGUUAAUUUAUGUAUAGGAAAGAACUAGCAGCUACAUAAGGCUUCAUCAGCUGCAUAAUUACUGCAUAUAUUAUAAAACAACAGCAAAUGCUGUCUGUGAAGACAAACCAUCUCUGCUCAUUAGAAACCUGCAAGAAUUAAUUAAGCAGGGUGUGAUUCUGUCACUUGCAGUCACAGAAAUGGUCCCAGUGUGGCUCAAGAUUCAGCUACCUUGGUCUUCGCAAUGACUUUAAUGGAGAAACCAGAGCAACUAUUAAUAAGAUCAGCAUCUGACUUAAACCAAAGCUGAGGGAGGCAAAAUUUAGUGCUGGAGCCCCCAACCCACCCACCUUUCUGAGGGGGCUGGAUGCUGUUUUCCUUCCUGUGUCUUCUGUCAGUGUUCGAGCUCUUGGGAUGCAGGUACAGAUUAAACUUUGAAAGUAAAUGAAACGAUCCUAUGAUUUAAAUAGAAAACGAAAAGGAUUUAGGAAUUUUCCACAGUGACAUUAGUAUUCUAAGAUCAAUUUGCCAGCACAGUGCUCAUAACUUCCCAGGUUUCUGUUUGCUUAUGUGCAAGAAAAAUGUGCUCUGGUAGACUGACUGCAGCGAUUAGUUAAAUUACUCAUACAUCCAUUAUUUAAAAAAACUUCUAUUCUCCUUUGAGCCCAUGUUUGUUUAGUGCCACCUGAUAAUAACUUUCUGCUUGAAUGAUGGCCACUAAUUUUGUUUAUGGCUCUUGAAUGUCAAUCAUGCAUACAUUUGGGAAACUCAGUUCAGGCUGGUAGGUGUGGGUGCGUAUGGGUGCGUGUUUUCAUGACAGCUUAUCAAGAGAAAUGGAAUUGGGAUUUGGUCAGCUUAUGACAUGAGUGAUACAGAUGAUUUGGUAACUGUAUGAGUGAAAAGCGUGUAGAAAAUUAUAUAUAAAAGGGGAAAAAAAGCUCUGCUGGUGGGAAGUGCCAGGAGUACUGGGACAGCGGGGUGUGGGGUUGCUUCGCCUGUUCUUCCUAACACCAGAUGAUGCACAUUAGCAGUCACACACCUCCAUGGCAAUAAUGCUGACCUGUGUUUAAUGCUGAAUUUCUCACAAAAUGUGGCAAUAGCAAACCUCCCUUGAGUCAAUUCUGGCAUGAAGGGACAAAAAGCUUCACUUUUCACUAAGAAUCUGCUUAUUCUCUUCAAGAUGACUGAGUUAUUUUGAGUUUAUUGCUACUAUUUUAAGAAUAUUGAAGGUUUUGAACAAUUUUUUGUGAAAUACUACUUUGAAAAUGGAAAUGCUGUUAUUUUUUGGCAUUUUGUUUGUGGACACAAGUAAGUAAUGUCUGCCCAAUGGGCAUUUUUAGUUCGACCAUUUCUUCCACUAAGUACAGUAUGUCCUCACUGGAAUGAGAGAGGCACAUGAAAACUCAUCAAAUUUGGUUUGAUCAGAAAGAGAAAACAUAGAUAACAUUUGUACAUUACUGACCUGAAAGGCAUUUACCUUUCUUGAUGAUCCAUUUUUCAGGGAACGCAUUUAUUAAAGAUACAGGUUGUGAGUUUGUAACUAUAUAGUUAUUUUUGUUUCUCUCCCACAUGCCUGACAGAGUCUUCAGUUUGAAUGUCUGUUGUCUUCAUGAAUUGUCUUAUUUAUUUAAUUUAAUGUUGCCUACUGGAAGUCCCUAUUAAUAUUAAUGUAAUUAAUAAAAUAUUAUUUUAUAUAUUAAUAAAAAAAUAAAAAGUAAUGUUAAUCAUUAGGUAAAACUGCAUGAUGCCACAUGCCUUUCUCAGGUGUAAGUUUUACAGAAGUUGUCAUUUUAAUACAGUGAUAAAUUCCAUUUAAUGUAAGUCAGGACUUUCACAACAGUGUCUUUAAGUGGUUCAUUUUGUCUUACAAAUGUAAAGGUCUUAUAUUUCAAAUGUAUAAUGAGGCCUUUUUGUUGUGUCUUAGACUUCUCUGGCAUAAAUACGCUGCUUCAUUAGCAACUCCUUGUCAGUGCUUCUGUAAAGAGUGAUUACUUUCCUUUACACGUGUUGUCGCUUCUCCCGUGGCUUAAUUUGGGUUGCUGUGUCAAGGACAUGGGGAGCAUAGGCUGGGAAGAAUUUCACAUACAAUUUUUGACUCGUUCUCUGUAAUCUCACCCCACCGUUUUGCUAGCUCUGAUGUACUGAGCACUUUAAACACUAUGUCAACACAGUAAAGUUUAUACUGCCAAUAAAACCUGUUGGCAAGCUCACUGAGAUAUUCCUAGAUCUUGGAAGGCAAUUAAUGUUUGAAAUACAUAAUAAUCUGUUUAUUGCAACAUUUUACACAUCUACAAAACUAAGUUACCAGUCAGUAGCUGGCUGUAAACUACUGUGCUGCAAGAUAAACCUGAAGUAGUAAAUACUGUAUAUUACACUAUAUGCUCUUUAAAUAGUCUAAUUUUCAAAGGGAUGUUGGAGAGAAAAUGUUUAUUGUUUCCUGUUUAUUCUUCAAAUACAAAUGGUGGAGAUAUAUAGCUUAUUAAAUAGAUCUCUGGCAUAUCAUAAUUAGGUUGAUUUUAGUGAUGGUUGAACUCUAGCUCCAGCUAAAUGAUGUCUGUCAGCACAUAAACACCACUAUCGCUUUAGUUGCAUUUAAUAUCCCAUUUUAUGCUGUAAAUAUUCCUUUCUCCUUGUAUCCUGGUUUUCAAGAUGCUCUGAGCCCUUCAGCUUUGAGGUGAGAUGUUACAUCUCAAAGGUAUGCACUCCAGCGAAUGAGCUUAAGUAUCACUAUCGGUGAGAGAAAGCUGUAAAGAAAUGCCUUUGCAGAUUUCAUAUGUUCUUGAAAUUAAAUUCUACAUUUUAUUAGGGAGUGUGGUGGAUUGGAGGAGUGUUUGCUGUGCCUCUUUGUGUAGAUAGUUUGGAGGGUAACUGAUGCUUAACUACUCGUCUGACAUCUCUGACAGACCCAGGACACACUCUGGUUCCCUUGUAGCAUUGAGUUGCUUCGACUCUUGAACAUCAGUCUCACUUACUUCAGUUUUAAGAGUCAAACUGCUAAAAUGAUUGGGGGGGGCUGUUUAAGGAAUUGCACAGUAAUGAAGUUCUUUGCAAGAUGCAUAAUGAAGAGCUUGCAGGUUUCUAUCAGUAGCUAAGUAGAUCUGUAGUUAUCAACUCUGUGUAAGGUAGAAACUCAGGAAGAGAAAGCUGAUCUCGAGCUAUAAAUGUGUUGGUUGGUAAUGUAGUAUAGAUCACAUGUGCCUCUCUUGCAAAUUAGAGUUAAGGUACACAGAUUAUUACAGACCCAACUGUGAAAGUUGAAACCAUGUGCCCUGGCUCCCUGCUCACUCGUGGCGAGUUUAUACCAGAGUCUAUCCUGGACUUCUGUCAGUGGAAGGAGAGGGAUCAGUGAACACUGAACGAAGGGUCAGCCCUUUUCUUAUUGCAAAGGGCGUUCAUAAACAAUUGGUGCCAUUCAGGGCUGCAACAGCCUAUUGGCAGAAGAAAUCUUCUUUUUUUCUUAAUCUGUAUCAUCGACACUAAAGCAUCCUAUUCUUGAUACUCCUGUCUAGUUAAUGGCGAGUUAGUAACAACUCUCCCUUUCCGAGGAACCUCGGAGAGGCUAACCUAAGGCCGACCUGAAAUUCACUGACCAGAAGGUCCUAUUGUAUGGGGCUGGGCCAGGACACAGAAUAGAAACCAUGAUUUCCCCGUUCUGAUGGGCAGAGGGCAGAAAUCUAAGAACUUUCUUUGACCUUCAGUGAACUCAACUAUGAAAAAGGAGAUAUUGCUGGUCUAUCUAAAAUGGAAAGCCUGGACAUAUCUAAUACAGUAAUUUAUGUUCCCUGGUAAGACUCAGCUAAAAGAAAACCUUUGUCUCUCAAGUGCUGAAGGGUUAAGUAGUCCUUUUUUAAAUCCUUUUUUCUUCCCUUUUUUUUUAGUCAUAUUCACCCUGUAUAUUCAAAGAUGAAGUAGAUAUAUAGCUUUACCUCAUAUCACCACACCCCU